rnacentral:rRNA from 1 species
CGAACUGGCGGGAUGCUAUACAUGCAGUCGAACGAGCUUCCGUUGAAUGACGUGCUUGCACUGAUUUCAACAAUGAAGCGAGUGGCGAACUGGUGAGUAACACGUGGGAAAUCUGCCCAGAAGCAGGGGAUAACACUUGGAAACAGGUGCUAAUACCGUAUAACAACAAAAUCCGCAUGGAUUUUGUUUGAAAGGUGGUUUCGGCUAUCACUUCUGGAUGAUCCCGCGGCGUAUUAGUUAGUUGGUGAGGUAAAGGCCCACCAAGACGAUGAUACGUAGCCGACCUGAGAGGGUAAUCGGCCACAUUGGGACUGAGACACGGCCCAAACUCCUACGGGAGGCAGCAGUAGGGAAUCUUCCACAAUGGACGAAAGUCUGAUGGAGCAAUGCCGCGUGAGUGAAGAAGGGUUUCGGCUCGUAAAACUCUGUUGUUAAAGAAGAACACCUUUGAGAGUAACUGUUCAAGGGUUGACGGUAUUUAACCAGAAAGCCACGGCUAACUACGUGCCAGCAGCCGCGGUAAUACGUAGGUGGCAAGCGUUGUCCGGAUUUAUUGGGCGUAAAGCGAGCGCAGGCGGUUUUUUAAGUCUGAUGUGAAAGCCUUCGGCUUAACCGGAGAAGUGCAUCGGAAACUGGGAGACUUGAGUGCAGAAGAGGACAGUGGAACUCCAUGUGUAGCGGUGGAAUGCGUAGAUAUAUGGAAGAACACCAGUGGCGAAGGCGGCUGUCUAGUCUGUAACUGACGCUGAGGCUCGAAAGCAUGGGUAGCGAACAGGAUUAGAUACCCUGGUAGUCCAUGCCGUAAACGAUGAGUGCUAAGUGUUGGAGGGUUUCCGCCCUUCAGUGCUGCAGCUAACGCAUUAAGCACUCCGCCUGGGGAGUACGACCGCAAGGUUGAAACUCAAAGGAAUUGACGGGGGCCCGCACAAGCGGUGGAGCAUGUGGUUUAAUUCGAAGCUACGCGAAGAACCUUACCAGGUCUUGACAUCUUCUGCCAAUCUUAGAGAUAGACGUUCCCUUCGGGGACAGAUGACAGGUGUGCAUGGUUGUCGUCAGCUCGUGUCGUGAGAUGUGGGUAGUCCGCACGAGCGCACCCUUAUUAUCAGUGCCAGCAUUCAGUGGGCACCUCUGGUGAGACUGCCGGUGACAAACCC